rnacentral:rRNA from 1 species
AGUGAACGCUGGCGGUAGGCCUAACACAUGCCAGUCGAGCGGCAGCACAGUAAGAGCUUGCUCUUACGGGUGGCGAGUGGCGGACGGGUGAGGAAUACAUCGGAAUCUACUUUUUCGUGGGGGAUAACGUAGGGAAACUUACGCUAAUACCGCAUACGACCUACGGGUGAAAGCAGGGGAUCUUCGGACCUUGCGCGAUUGAAUGAGCCCAUGUCGGAUUAGCUAGUUGGCGGGGUAAAGGCCCACCAAGGCGACGAUCCGUAGCUGGUCGGAGAGGAUGAUCAGAGAGACUGGGCCGGAGACAAGGACCAGACUCAGACGGGAGGCAGCAGUGGGGAAGACUGGACAAUGGGAGAAAACAUGAUCCAGCAAUGUCGAGGGAGGGAUGAAGGCAUGAGGGUGGUAAAGCUCGGUUACCCGGGCUGAUAACGACAGUACCGGGAGAAUAAGCUACGGCAAACUCCGUG